UACGUAGGGCCCAAGCGUUGUUCGGAUUUACUGGGCGUAAAGGGCGCGUAGGCGGCGCGACAAGUCACUUGUGAAAUCUCUGGGCUUAACUCAGAACGGCCAAGUGAAACUGUUGUGCUAGAGUGCAGAAGGGGCAAUCGGAAUUCUCGGUGUAGCGGUGAAAUGCGUAGAUAUCGAGAGGAACACCAGAGGUGAAGACGGGUUGCUGGGCCGACACUGACGCUGAGGCGCGAAAGCCAGGGGAGCAAACGGG
rnacentral:rRNA from 1 species